rnacentral:snoRNA from 1 species
UAUCAAACUUCUAUAUAUAGUUCUCUUCCUCCCCAGUUUUGAGGAACCAGGUUUGCUAAAGUAAUUGUGAUGAUAGGAACAUAUUAGCCACAGAAGCUACCCAAGUAGCCCAUUUUAUCCUAGUGCAGUG